GAUUUGAAUGAAAGUAACCACCUAAGGGAAGCAUGAUCUAACCCCACCUAUUCCUGAAAGAGAGACAUCUGUAUUCAAAAUAAAGGGAAGUUCGAUCUCUGGAUAAGCUCAAAUCGGCGAACAAAUAAGAUUUUCCUUCAAAUGCUUGAAAGCUUCUUCGCAUUCCG